UUUAAGUUAUGUUGAACUAAAAAUCAUGACUAUACAAAAUUAGAAAGAAAUACACAAAAAAUAAAAGAAAAUUAUAUAUCUGUUAUAAUCAUAAUAAUAAUAGAAGCCCAUGUGCCUAUUAAUUCUAUUUCAGUUUUUUUGAAAAUAUGUAAAUAAAAUAAUAAAUUAUUUUCAAUAUAAUAAUAUUAAUUUUGUUUUGCAUUUUUCUUAAUAACAUCCAUUUGGUUUACUUGUGAUUGAUAUAGUUUAUAGAUACAUGAUUUAUUAAAAAUAACAAAAUUACACCUGAAUAAAUAGAAAAUUUUUGAAUUAAUCUUAGAUGAUAAAUGAUAUUUGAAUCAGUACUAAUUAACUUAAAUACAAUAAGAUCGAUUAAAAAAUACAUUAAAAACUCAAUACCCAUGGUUAAAGACUGGUAAAGUUGGGCAUGAUAACUUCAAAAUUUAAGGGUGUGCAGUUAAGCAGUACUUUUGCACUAAAGACAAAGGCUUCGUCCCUAUUGCUUCAUAAAUCAGCUUUUUAGUAUAAAAAUUUAAUUUUUUAAAUUAGAAUGUUGUUUUAAGAAAUAAUAAGAAAGUCAUCCCAAACGAAACCAAAGUUGUAUAUGCUGAAUUACCAAUUCAAGCUUUAGCACAUUUGAAAUAACAGCACUUUCUCAAACUUCAACUCAUAUUUAUUACUUGCUUCUAUUAGAAAAAGUGUUGCUUGUGCAUUCAUAUGAUGUCCUAUUGCAUGUCUUGCUUUUCUUACUGUUUUAGAUGUAAUGUAAUGUACUAAUGAAUGUACACCUCUUGGCCCAUCAUGAGAACAUCUUUAUGUUCUUAAGUUGUUUCACCACUCUAUAAUUAGAUUCUCCAUGAGGCUCUACGUAGGAUUAACCUACCAAUGAUUAGUGAGAGACAAAUCAUUACAAUAAUAUCUCUUAAACAUCUUUCUUUAACAUUCUUAAAACCUUAAGCGUGUACUAACAAGGCUGGUAGGGGUGACUAAUAUUGUUUCCAGCUGAUAAAAAAUCUGUCGCCUGAAAACUAUCUCUGUAAGUUUUUAUGAAAUUUAUCGCCUCCUGUCUUUGUUCUUCUAAAAUACUUGUCAUGUAAUUAACUAUGUAGCGUGACUUCCUUUUUUGUUUGACAUCACCUAUGAUCUAUAUGUUAUAAAAUGCUAUGUUAUGUCCUACUAUUUAUACAUUUCUGUACCAGUUCUCACAUUAGCAGUAUUUUUCCCUUAGGCUCAUUUGGACUAAUUUUCAUGAAGGAUGGUAAUAGGCCACACCCUUUCUGAAGUCCACAUAUUUACCAUGGUUUGAGCAAAUUUCAUCUUACGAGAGUACUAUGGGCUCUCUUUUGAUUGAAGGCAGCAGAUGCAAAUCUUAUUGACAUAAUUCAAUUCAGUAAACGUGGGUGGAAAUAUCCAUAUGAGGUAAACAUUAUUCUUUCCUUUAUCUCUUCUGUCAUUUCAUGAACUUCUGCAUCAAUAUGGCUACUGCACACCCAGCCAGGUUCACCCACCAACAUCCCUGGCAUAACUGUAGCGCAUUAAGGGCUGUUCCUCUUUAUGUGAACUAGAAACAUUUUUAUGUGUUUGUUUUAUAUGAGAUUGAACAGCUAUUAUCCACUCUCAACGCUAGAAAUUAUUGCUGCAGUAAUGUUAGUCAAUGAAAUGUCAUAGGAACUAAUCAGAUUUUCAAGUAAUAGCUUGACACUGUGAUGGAGGAGCAAAACAAUGGCAUGUUGCAUGAGUUGGACCAUGACAUUGGUAUUUGGAAGGUUUUAGGUUUUUGUUUUUAUUUAAUAAUGUCAUGGUAUGCAUAGUUUUAUAAUAGGAGGUUUGUUAGGAUUAUAAUAAAUAUUUGUUAUUUUGAAAAGAGUUAGAUUUGAAAUUGA